rnacentral:rRNA from 1 species
AUUGAACGCUGGCGGCAGGCCUAACACAUGCAAGUCGAACGGUAACAGGAAGCAGCUUGCUGCUUUGCUGACGAGUGGCGGACGGGUGAGUAAUGUCUGGGAAACUGCCCGAUGGAGGGGGAUAACUACUGGAAACGGUAGCUAAUACCGCAUAACGUCGCAAGACCAAAGAGGGGGACCUUAGGGCCUCUUGCCAUCGGAUGUGCCCAGAUGGGAUUAGCUAGUAGGUGGGGUAACGGCUCACCUAGGCGACGAUCCCUAGCUGGUCUGAGAGGAUGACCAGCCACACUGGAACUGAGACACGGUCCAGACUCCUACGGGAGGCAGCAGUGGGGAAUAUUGCACAAUGGGCGCAAGCCUGAUGCAGCCAUGCCGCGUGUAUGAAGAAGGCCUUCGGGUUGUAAAGUACUUUCAGCGGGGAGGAAGGGAGUAAAGUUAAUACCUUUGCUCAUUGACGUUACCCGCAGAAGAGGCACCGGCUAACUCCG